rnacentral:misc_RNA from 1 species
GAUGAAGAACGUAGCGAAAUGCGAUAAGUAAUGUGAAUUGCAGAAUUCAGUGAAUCAUCGAAUCUUUGAACGCACAUUGCACCUUGUGGUUAUUCUGCAAGGUACACCUGUCUGAGCGUCAUUACAAAUAUCAAAACCUGUUCAGUCUUGUGCAGUGUUUUUGGUUUUGGGGACUUGUGUGAGUACUCACACAUUCCCUACAAUAUGUUGGCAGUGCCUCAAUGCCGCUCAGUUGUAGCAUGAUGCUUUUCAACUUGGAGUGUGUACUUGAAAAAUGUACUUGCCCUCACCCUUUUCCAUUUCCAUCUUGAUGGGAUGUGGACUUUUUAUUUUGACCUCAGAUCAGGUGGGGAUACCCGCUGAACUUAAGCAUAUCAAUAAGCGGAGGA